UACGUAUGGAGCAAGCGUUAUCCGGAUUUACUGGGUGUAAAGGGUGCGUAGGUGGCAGUGCAAGUCAGAUGUGAAAGGCUGGGGCUCAACCCCGGAGCUGCAUUUGAAACUGCAUAGCUAGAGUACAGGAGAGGCAGGCGGAAUUCCUAGUGUAGCGGUGAAAUGCGUAGAUAUUAGGAGGAACACCAGUGGCGAAGGCGGCCUGCUGGACUGUUACUGACACUGAGGCACGAAAGCGUGGGGAGCAAACAGGAGUAGAACCCCAGGAUCCGGCUGACUGACU
rnacentral:rRNA from 1 species